AUGCGCUUUAAACCUUCGAACCCUUUGCUUCCUUUCUCUCUCCUCCUCUCUCACUCCUCGGUCCGGCGCUACACAGUCGAGCAAGCUGUGACAGGCAAUUUAAGUUAAUUGUAGAAGCAAGACAUUCACUGUAUCCUGCUGAAGAUCUUAGUGGGUUUCAGAAAAUGAUACGAAUCUUAAAGAUUAAACCUGUGACGUCUUUCUUUGAGUCUUCUUCAAGCCAUAACUUUCUUCAGAGAUGCUCUGUAAGUGGGACGGCAAAGGGUAAAUCAAAGACAAAAGCUGCAGGACCACUGAAGCGGUCAAAGAUCACUGUGAAAAGGGGUAGUGCAGCCCCUGCUGCUAAAGGUGGAGGAGGUCACAUAAGUCCGGCGGAAAAGUUAUAUGAUUCAUGCUUAAAUGCCCCGACACCUGUUAGGUGGUUACCACCAGUACUGAGAAAACGUGAAAUAAUGCGAGAGAAGAUGGGACUUAUUAGCAAAGAGCGACAGCGUGAGAUUGAGAUGCUGAAGAAAGAUAAGGGAAAAUUGGGAAUCCCAGAAAAACCAACAAUUAUUGGAACACCUGGUUUGGAUUUGAUAUCACUAGGUUUGGUUGAUGUGGAGAAGAUACCAAAAUAUAACCUGACUGUUGAAGACGGUAGAAAGCUUGCAAAGGAGUAUAGCAGGGUCUUGAUGAGGCGUCACCGUGCAAGGCAGGCAGCAGAGUCCACACUGUUGCGGUUGAAGAAGGAGGCGAUUGAGGCAUUGCCUGAACAUUUGAAAGCAGCAGCAUUGGUUCCAGAUCUUACCCCGUUCCCAGUAAACCGGUUCAUGGCAACUCUGACUCCUCCGAUUGAAGGUUAUAUUGAGAAAGUUAAGGAAGCUGCAAGAAAGAGCAGUGCGAAGGAGAAGCUCAGAUAACUGGAGAUGGCGUUAUGCUUGCGAGGUAGGAGAUCGUUUGUUAUCAGACAACCAGCACUUACUGAAGUCAGAAGAGAGCUAGUAUUUGAAUUCACGAAGUCAGCGUGUUGGUGAGGAAGCGAUGAAAUGGUAUUGCGGAAUUAGAUCUAGUGCUUCGGUCUUGGUUAUUAGCAAUAAUCUGUUUGAAUGCUUUCGGAAAUUCAAUGUCGGAUAAGUUUAGUAUUUUGACCUAAAUUGUUGAGUUUUACAUGUUUGCAUGGUUUCAUGAUCUGUAUUGAACGCAUUAGAAACUUUCUGUGCAAGUUCCAAGUCUUUUAAGAUUGUGCAAGGUGUUAUGUUAGCAAUGCUGCAAUGGCCGGUUCGGUAAGCAAUCAACGACGGCCCUGAUGGCGAUGACAGCCUAAUGGGGUUUAGGACUCGUUGAGAUUGCUUUUGUAAGAAGCACUUAUGUCAAUAAGCACCUAUGCUUGUUUUUUUUUUUUUUUUAUAAAA
rnacentral:sRNA from 1 species